UGAACACAUCUCUGAGUGGGUGGCCAAAGAACGAAUCGUCGAAUCGGAUGUCUGUGCAUUGUGCGAGAAAUUCGAAUCGACAUUCGACCUGUGGCCAUCCGAUUACGACUGAAAUAGUU
rnacentral:precursor_RNA from 9 species